UACGGAGGAUGCAAGCGUUAUCCGGAAUGAUUGGGCGUAAAGAGUCCGUAGGUGGUGAUUCAAGUCGAUUGUUAAAGAGCGGGGCUUAACCCCGUAGAAGCAGUGGAAACUGAAGCACUAGAGAGAGGUAGGGGUAGAGGGAAUUCCCGGUGUAGCGGUGAAAUGCGCAGAUAUCAGGAGGAACACCGGUGGCGAAGGCGGUUCUCUGGGCCGUACCUGACGCUGAGGAGCGAAAGCGUGGGGAGCAAACAGG
rnacentral:rRNA from 1 species